rnacentral:tRNA from 1 species
GCCUUGGUGGUUCAGUGGUAGAAAUCUCGCUUUCUAUGGGAGAGACCCAGGUUCAAUUCCCAGCCGAUGCA